rnacentral:rRNA from 1 species
UACAGAGGGGGCAAGCGUUGUUCGGAAUUACUGGGCGUAAAGGGCUCGUAGGUGGCCAACUAAGUCGGACGUGAAAUCCCUCAGCUUAACUGGGGAACUGCGUCCGAUACUGGAUGGCUCGAGUUUGGGAGAGGGAUGCGGAAUUCCAGGUGUAGCGGUGAAAUUCGUAGAUAUUCGGAGGAACACCAGUGGCGAAGGCGGCUCACUGGCUCGACACUGACGCUGAGGUGCGAAAGCGUGGGGAGCAAACAGG